UUUUUAGUAUAAGUAUAUUCCAUGCAAUGUUUGGGACAUACUUAUAUGAAAA
rfam:Pan troglodytes isolate Yerkes chimp pedigree #C0471 (Clint) chromosome 1, whole genome shotgun sequence.